rnacentral:rRNA from 1 species
AGGAGCUUGCUCCUGGAUUCAGCGGCGGACGGGUGAGUAAUGCCUAGGAAUCUGCCUGGUAGUGGGGGACAACGUUUCGAAAGGAACGCUAAUACCGCAUACGUCCUACGGGAGAAAGCAGGGGACCUUCGGGCCUUGCGCUAUCAGAUGAGCCUAGGUCGGAUUAGCUAGUUGGUGAGGUAAUGGCUCACCAAGGCGACGAUCCGUAACUGGUCUGAGAGGAUGAUCAGUCACACUGGAACUGAGACACGGUCCAGACUCCUACGGGAGGCAGCAGUGGGGAAUAUUGGACAAUGGGCGAAAGCCUGAUCCAGCCAUGCCGCGUGUGUGAAGAAGGUCUUCGGAUUGUAAAGCACUUUAAGUUGGGAGGAAGGGUUGUAGAUUAAUACUCUGCAAUUUUGACGUUACCGACAGAAUAAGCACCGGCUAACUCUGUGCCAGCAGCCGCGGUAAUACAGAGGGUGCAAGCGUUAAUCGGAAUUACUGGGCGUAAAGCGCGCGUAGGUGGUUUGUUAAGUUGGAUGUGAAAUCCCCGGGCUCAACCUGGGAACUGCAUCCAAAACUGGCAAGCUAGAGUAUGGUAGAGGGUGG